UGUAAAGAUAUUGGUUUCAUUUUGUGUUAGAUAAACCAACCUACUCACAAUGUCACAUAUGUUUUGAAAAACAAAGAUACAGCUAUUAAAAACAACUUAUAUAACAAAUAACUCAACUGAUUUUUGAGACAUGAAGCCCUGCUCUUGAAGGUUUUUAAAACCCCUUUUUCUUGGGUUGUCCAUGGGUUGACACUGGACCAUGGUGCACCACGUAUCCUGCAGCAUUUUCUCUAUCCAAACUCAAAGCUCCAGAUCACUCAGGCAGCAAAUCAUAAAAAUUUCUGCAGCAGAGCAGGCACAUCUCACCCUGGGUUAUUCCAGCAUGUGUGACACCCAACAACAAAGAGAGGAGCUGCUUUUCUGACCUUGUAACCCCCUGGCUGCAUUCCCUGAAAUGUUCUGUCUUCUGCCAACCAUGCCCUGAACCAAGGGCUUCCCCACCCCCAAGAGAAAUGCUUUUAACUUCCCUUGGAAAAGGAGCAGAGCAGAAUCUGGGACAGCAUCAGAGCUUGGCAUCAGAGUGAGUGCCACAGCAAGGGGCAGUGACCCCAGGGCUGGUGCCUGCUGUAAUUAAAGAGGGGACAAAUAAAGCCACGGGGAGUGAUGAGAUUGUUCCUCAUUGUCAGAAGCCAACAAAGUCAAAACAGACCCAGAAAAGUUUCAUUAGUCCAGUUUUUAUUCAAAUUAAAUGAUGGGGAACUACAGUGUGAUUUUCUUUCAUAAUAUAAAUAUGUCAGUGAAGAAUGUUUCUUGAGUUGUUCGUCGCACUGGACAAGACAGCUGUCAAGAGAGUUACUUUGCAAAGUCCUUUGUCCUCCACACUCAUGCAAAAAAAAAUCUUUAAUUUAAAAAAUGAGCUUAAACAGUCAACCAACUUGUUAAGAGUAUACUGUCACCUACUGAACUAAAGUACUCUGGUUUACAAAACCAAAAAUUUUCACACCCAGGUAAAUUAUUUCACAAUCAUUCAUUACCCUUGAGGGUCUUCAUACAUAAAAUAUACAAAUAAAAAUUAUCAAUAUUUAUUUAUUUAUUUAUUCAUUGUCACUGUAGAAGAAAAUAAUUUAUAAACCCAUAAACAAAGAUAAGGGCAGAUGGAAAAAAGUGAAUGAGCCCAUAUUCAGACCAUAAUGUGUAGCGCACUCCCAAACACUGCAGCUUUGAGCAACAAUGCUCACAUGAAAGUGAUUUUUGGGCAUGAUGUGGGCAAAGGGGGCAACUGCUUUGAUAAUAUAUGAAUAAUGAAUCCCAAAGGUUGGGACCAAGCUGUAUUCAUCUGUUGAGCCAUGACAGUAGCUUGAUGAACAGCAUUUAUCUGUUGAGCCAUCACACUGGCUGAGGAACAGGCACCACACCUCACUCAAAUAUUAAGGAUUUUGGUCUCCAAACAAUGUGAACCAAAGAAGAGCUUUCAUGGUGGUGACAUGCAAACACUGCCAAGUGUAUUUAUGGUAAUUACUUGUUGUACCCAUCCAUAAAAAGACACUGUUUGGAUAAACUGAAUGAACUGGAAAUUGAUUUUAAACACCCCCAAUUUAUCUAUUAGGCACCAAUGGAAAAGAUGGACUUCAUUCAGGCUUAUUUAAACAACAGCUUGCUUGAGACAAAGCUGCCCUGCACUGCGAGCCCAGCAGGGUGUGCACCACACACGAUGCUCCUGGGGCUGGGGCUCAUCCUGGGGGGCUUUUCUGCACGAGCAAAGCCACUUUAGGAAACCCAGAGCCAGAGUCCCAAAG